UCCCUGGUAGUAUAUCGGAUUAGUACACGCGCCUGUCAUAGAUGGCGUCGGGAAUUAUUCGCGCGAGAGCGGGGUUCGACUCCCCGCCAGGGAG